rnacentral:lncRNA from 1 species
GUUUAGGCUUUUGCUCUAUAAAAUGAAGGAGGUGCUCAGAAUAUAAUCCUGUUUGGUCUUCAAGGAAUGCAUAUUUCUCUCUUUGAUGUCUCCCCCAUAGUUUCUUGUUGUGUCCUUGUUCGCAAGUCACCCUGGUCUCCACGGUCUUAAACACUUUUUCUGGUGUUAUAGGUAGGUUAAUGUGCUUGCAUGUGUUCUCAAUAAAUAAAUGCAUAUUGAACUGGAAUAAAGCAAAUGAAAUAAGUGGGAGAUUAGAAUUUCACCUCAGUUAUGACUUAUUUUAUAUUCUGAGAUUGCACAUUAGAUGAUGCUUAAUAAUAGGGUCACCUUGAUGCGGUUGAGCACGAGGCCCAAAGUGUACAAGUAGACCCUGUGAAGGUGCCCCAAGGCCCAGUGACACGAGCACGAGCCAAGAGAUUCAAGGAGUCCCUUCAAGCCUUGGUACGUGCCGUCCAAACCCAAGAGAAACCGGUCAUUGAAGGAAUUGAGUUGGAAUAUCCUUGCACGACUACUAAAAUGCUGCUUACAAUUGAAGAUGCAAAUGUUCAAGCUCCAAACGGCGGGCUUAGCCGCAGUUAAGUACCCUCGCUGAGCCGUACGGGGGUCUCGCUGUCCGAUCAGCGAGUCGGGGGUCCAAGGGGGCGACGCGCCCCUGGCUUGGGGGCCCGGGGGCGCAGCGAAGCCCCCGGUGGGGGUUCGGGGGCAACGCCACCGAAGCUUAUGAUCUAUAGUUAGUUGGGCUAGCUUUCGGUCAAGUGAAGGCCCAAGGGGCUGGCCGAACUUUCCUUGUUAUUUUUCCAGUUUAUUAGGUCUUAGUCACGGCUAUUAAUAGCCUCAAGCCGCAUGUUACAUUCAGUUUUUUUGAGAGUAUUGAAUAAAAUUUCCAGAAUUUCGUCCAUUCCUUGUGGCAAAUUCCCUUAGCUUGUAAAAGCUAAGUUGAACAUCCUAGAGUUGAUCCUAGGCUGUUCUUGACUUAUCAAUCAAGCACACAUACUUGAUUGUGGCGUCCUCUACCGUUAAAUCUGUUCUUGAGUGGUCCAAGUUCGGGUUCAACUCCGUCAAAUCUUCAUCGUGUUCCUCUAGAUCCGAAGUAGCUUCCGCGUCUCGUAUCAGCUGGCAUCAGAGCUAGUUAGAGGUAUCACGAAUAUCCUUUUUAUCGUUUUUAGAUCUAUUUUAGUCUUCUAAAUUCGUAGCUCAAGUGCUCGGGUUUGUCAAGUCCGAAAUCUGUCUUUGUUGUUUCCUUGUCAGAAAUCUGUCUUGGUUGUUUCCUUGUCAGAAAUCUGUCUUUGUUGUUUAGUUGUUGUCCGAAAUUUUCUGUCCAGGUUUGUCUUGUGUUUAUGUUCUGUUUAAAUCCAGAAAAAAAAAAAAUCUCUUGUGUUGCAUACCUUAUUGUCAUUCCCUUGAGUCGUUGCUGGAAUUAAUUGCUGGGUUGCCGAAUCUGUUUGCACUUGUUUCUUGAACCUUUGUGUUGUUGCUUUGCAAAACUCGAACAUCAAAACCUUAUUGGGGAAGUCUUGAGCUUCUUGGAUCAAAGAGGUUAAUCUUGGCAGUCUUGAAACCUGAAAUAAACCUUCAACCGUGUUCUUGUUUUCAUGGAACUUUGAUCUUGAAACCAAAUCUGUCCAAGUUGUUUACGUUAAUUGCUGUGAAAUUGUGGUCUAAACUAGCUGGCUAUUGUGUGAAAACACCCCAACAGAAGUCAAAAAAAAAUUUUCAAGAAAGACGGCUCUAGUUUCCAAUUCUUGACCAGCCUUCAAGUUUUACCAAAUCUGAUUCAAACUUGGACUUUCAAAUCUGAACAGCCCUAGUCUUGGUCAGCCUUCAAGCCACCAAAUCUGAUUCAAACUUGGACUUCCAAAUCUGAACAACAUCCAAUUCUUGACAGCCUACAAGUUUACCAAAUUUUGUGCAAAAUCUGACUUCCAAAUCUGACCAGCCCCAAAAUUUCGAAUUUGGACCACUUGGGACUCCCAAAUCUGACCAAACUCCACGGUUUCUAAUCUUGGCAACCCCAAGUGUCCAAAUCAGAUCACGGACCAAAAAGACCACGGACCAGCAGCUCAACACAUUCCAGAAAUUUGGGUUUCGGGUAGAGUUUUCUAGGAUUUUCAAAAUUUCAGCAUUCAAGUUAAUUGUCUUACUUUCUUUUGAGUCGUUAGUUAUUGUCCAGCUAUAUUCUGAGUCUUGAGUCGUGUCUAGGUCUUCAGUCAUUCACCUCCAUUUAUUGCUACUAGCUUGUGUGUCACUUGUUGCCUAGUCAAGAACGUACACUGCGGUGACGCCUAGUUUGUUCAACUCGAGCAACUAGCAAGCCAAGGAAUUGCUUGGUAAGAUUAUUAGAGAGUGAUACACUUGAGUGAAACACGAGUGUGAGUGACCUAUACAUCGUAAAAAAAAAAAAAAGAGAGAGGAACUCGUUUUUGUUUAUUUGUUUUGCAGGUGAACUAAAUAUGUCUAGUGGAGUGGGUAGCCAAACCAUGGACAUCAAACUACAGUUGGAAGCCAUGAUGGGGGAGUUCAAACGAUUGCUUAAGAAUGAAAUUGAACCAUUGCAUGAUCGAAUUGAUCAGUUGGAGAACUCGAGACCUCCACCUACCCCGAGUAAGGGCAAAGAAUCGGCAUACUCAAACGAUGAAGAGGAAGCGUUUGAGGGAAGGUACCAAAAUGAUCAAAGGUUCCAACGUCGAGGAGAUGACACCAUUAAAGGUGUCAAACUCAAGAUUCCCUCAUUCCAAGGCAAGUCGGACCCCGAGGCGUACUUGGAAUGCGAACGAAAAAUUGAGUUAGUCUAUGAAUGCCACACCUAUACGGAGGAGCAAAAGGUGAAACUAGCAGCCGUAGAAUUCACUGACUACGCCUCCAUUUGGUGGGACCAACUUAGACUAAGCCGAAGGAGAAAUCGUGAGAGACCUGUGGAAACUUGGGAGGAAAUGAGGAGUCUGAUGAGAAAAAGGUUUGUUCCGAGCUACUAUAGUUGAGAUCUACACCGUCGGCUACAAGCUCUCAACCAAGGGUCCAUGUCAGUUGAGGAUUAUUACAAGGAGAUGGAAAUGGCCAUCAUGAAGGCGGAUUUGCGUGAAGAUGGAGAGGCCACUAUGGCUCGUUUUCUACAUGGAUUGAGGCCCGAGAUUGCCGAAGUAGUGGAACUCCAACACUACCUCGACAUGAAUGAAAUGCUCGAGAAGGCGGUUACAAUUGAACGACGCCUCAAGAGGAGGGGUACUGCGCGACAAAGCACUACUUAUCCAGCUGGAAAUUGGCGCACUUCUCAACCAAAAAGGGAGGAGAAAGCCGCAGCUCCUUCUUACCCUCCAAGGCCGAAUGGCCUCCCUUCCAAGGCAACGCCCAAGCCUGACUUUAAGGCUAAUAAUGCAGCUACCAAACCGCGUGGUCGAGACACCAAGUGUUUUAAGUGUCAAGGAUUUGGCCAUAUCGCUUCUCAAUGCCCCAGCCAAAGGACCAUGCUGAUGUUGCCAAAUGGGGAAAUUGUAUCAGAUGAGGAAGAGGAGUACGAGGGGAUACCGCCUCUAGAAGAGGAAGAGAAUGAAUCGAGUGAGGAGAUACCUACGCAUGAGGAGAUUGGAUGCCUAGUGGUUCGAAAGGUCCUCACUACCCGCGCCAAAGAGGAGGAACUGGAGGUACAACGGGACAACCUUUUCUACACAAGGUGUCAUAUCAAGGAUAAGGUGUGUAGUGUUGUUAUUGAUAGUGAGAGUUGUGCCAAUGUCGCUAGUCUACUCAUGGUAGAAAUGCUAGGGCUCCAAGUUAUCAAACAUCCAAGACCUUAUCGCCUUCAAUGGUUGAACAAUGAAGGGGAAGUCCGCGUGUUUAGACAAGUAAAAGUGCCAUUCCGAAUUGGCAAGUAUGAAGACGAGGUUACUUGUGAUGUCGUGCCAAUGCAAGCAAGUCACCUCAUUCUUGGACGGCCUUGGCAAUAUGAUCGCGAUGUCGAAUUCAAGGGAAGAGCUAAUAAAUAUGUCUUUACUCAUUGCAAUAGAAAGGUGACACUUGUACCUCUCACCCCAAAACAAGUGUAUGAAGAUCAAAUGAGGCUCCAAAGGGAGUAUGAGCUAGAACUUGAGAGGAAAAAGCGAGAGAAAAGUGAGGAAGAAAAAGGAGAGAGUAGGGCCGAAACCCUAGGGAAGAAAAAGGCAACAAGUGGGUCGGCUAUGAGAGAAGAAAAUAAGGGGAAGCUAAGCUUGCUAGCAAAAGCCAAAGAUGUAAGGCGAGCUUUGUCUUCCAACCAACUCUUACUUGUGCUUGUGUGCAAAGAAGAGUUGGUCACUUCAUCCAUACCCACUGACUCCUUGCCUUAUACUAUUUUACCUCUCUUGCAGGAAUUUGAGGACAUAUUUCCUGAGGAUGUACCUGAUGGACUACCACCGCUAAGGGGAAUCGAGCACCAAAUCGAUCUCAUUCCUGGAGCACCAUUGCCUAACAAACCAGCUUAUAGAAUGGGUCCUGAGGAAACAAAGGAAUUGCAAAGGCAAGUGGAGGAAUUGCUAAGGAAAGGUUGGGCUAGAGAAAGUCUAAGUCCAUGCGCUGUACCGGUGAUUCUCGUGCCAAAGAAAGAUGGAGCGUGGAGAAUGUGCACCGACUGUCGAGCAGUCAAUGCAAUCACGGUAAAAUAUCGUCACCCUAUCCCUAGGUUAGAUGAUAUGUUAGAUGAAUUGCAUGGUGCCAUUAUAUUCACUAAAAUUGAUUUGAAAAGUGGUUACCACCAAAUAAGAAUGAAAGAGGGAGAUGAGUGGAAAACCGCUUUCAAAACUAAACAUGGUCUAUAUGAGUGGUUAGUAAUGCCAUUUGGCUUAACUAAUGCACCUAGUACCUUCAUGCGUUUGAUGAACCAUGUUUUGAGACCUUUUCUUGGGAAAUUUGUAGUGGUUUACUUUGAUGAUAUUCUGAUUUAUAGUAGAAGCUUAGAGGAACACUUUGAGCACCUCAAAGCCAUCUUUGCAGUACUUCGAAGGGAAAGGCUAUAUGCCAACCUUAAGAAGUGCACAUUUUGCACUGAUCGUGUUGUGUUUCUAGGAUAUGUUGUAAGUGCGCAGGGCAUUCAUGUAGAUGAAGAGAAGAUUAAGUCCAUCCAAGAGUGGCCAACACCUACCUCUGUAAGUGAUGUGCGCAGCUUUCAUGGAUUAGCAAGCUUCUAUCGUCGCUUUGUGAAGGAUUUUAGCACCAUUGCUGCACCUCUUACCGCGGUCAUAAAGAAGAACGAGAAGUUCUUUUGGGGGGAAGCCCAAGAUAAGGCUUUCCAAUUGCUGAAACACAAACUCACACAUGCACCACUCCUUGCAAUACCUAACUUUGAUCUCACUUUUGAAGUGGAAUGUGAUGCAUCAGGUGUAGGAGUAGGAGCCGUACUCAUGCAAGGAGGGAGACCGAUUGCCUACUUUAGUGAGAAAUUAAAUGGCGCGGUCCUCAACUAUUCAACUUAUGACAAGGAGAUGUUUGCCCUCGUACGUGCUUUGGAGACAUGGCAACACUACCUACGUGCCCGGGAAUUCGUCAUCAAAACUGACCAUGAGUCUCUCAAGCACCUAAAAGGACAACAAAAGCUGAGCAAACGGCAUGCCCGAUGGGUAGCCUUCAUCGAGUCUUUUCCAUACGUCAUCAAAUACAAAACAGGUAAGUCUAAUGUAGUAGCUGACGCUUUAUCUCGGAGACACAUUUUGCUCACUGCCUUAGAUGCUAAACUCCUAGGCUUUGAACUCAUGAAGGAGUUGUAUAAAGAUGACUUGGAUUUUGCCAACGCUUAUGCGAAUUGGGGAAAAUCUGACUUUGAAAAGUUCUUUGUACAUGAUGGGUUCUUAUUUUAUCUUACCAAGCUGUGCAUUCCUCGAGGGUCCAUACGUGACUUACUUAUUCAGGAGUCACAUAGUGGUGGACUAAUGGGACACUUUGGUGUCACCAAGACAUUAGCUGUAUUGCAGGAACACUUCCAUUGGCCUCGCAUGCGCAAGGACGUGGAGAGGAUUGUUGAAAGAUGUGGUGUGUGCCACAAAGCUAAGUCUCGGGUCAACCCAAACGGUUUGUAUACUCCUUUACCCAUACCUCACCACCCUUGGGUUGACAUCUCCAUGGAUUUCGUGCUUGGUUUACCUCGUUCAAAGCGUGGUCAUGACUCUAUAUUUGUUGUGGUAGAUAGGUUCUCCAAAAUGGCUCACUUUAUUGCAUGUCAUAAGACGGAUGAUGCUUUACACAUUGCUGAUUUAUUCUUUAAAGAGGUUGUUCGUUUGCAUGGCAUACCUAGGACAAUAGUAUCCGAUAGAGAUGUCAAGUUUUUGAGCUAUUUCUGGAAAUCUUUAUGGGGUCGGUUGGGAACCAAACUGUUGUUCUCUACCUCUAGUCAUCCUCAAACGGACGGACAAACUGAGGUAGUCAAUAGGACUUUAUCCACACUCCUACGUGCAAUCAUACAGAAAAAUAUCAAGUCAUGGGAGGAGUGUCUACCUCAUGUUGAGUUUGCAUACAAUAGGGUUGUGCAUAGUGCUACACAAUUCUCGCCUUUUGAAGUUGUGUAUGGUUUGAACCCCUUAACUCCCUUAGAUUUGUUGCCAUUACCUUCUUCUGAGCAUAUGAACUUAGAUGGCAAGAAGAAAGCUGAGUUCGUGAGAUCAUUACACGACAAGGUUCGUACCAACAUCAAGAGGAGGACGGCCCAAUAUGUCCAACAAGCUAAUAAGCACAGGCGCAAGCUUGUCUUUGAACCAGGUGAUUGGGUCUGGUUACAUUUGCGCAAGGAGAGGUUUCCAAAACAACGGCAAAGCAAGCUGUCACCAAGAGGAGAUGGGCCUUUUCAAGUUAUUGAGCGCAUCAACGACAAUGCAUACCGCUUAGAUCUGCCUGGUGAGUAUACUGUUAGUGCUACAUUCAAUGUUGCUGAUCUAAGUCCAUUUAUUGCAGGGGACGAGUACGAUUUGAGGGCAAAUCCUUUUCAAGAGGAGGGGAAUGAUGCGGUUGAGCACGAGGCCCAAAGUGUACAAGUAGACCCUGUGAAGGUGCCCCAAGGCCCAGUGACACGAGCACGAGCCAAGAGAUUCAAGGAGUCCCUUCAAGCCUUGGUACGUGCCGUCCAAACCCAAGAGAAACCGGUCAUUGAAGGAAUUGAGUUGGAAUAUCCUUGCACGACUACUAAAAUGCUGCUUACAAUUGAAGAUGCAAAUGUUCAAGCUCCAAACGGCGGGCUUAGCCGCAGUUAAGUACCCUCGCUGAGCCGUACGGGGGUCUCGCUGUCCGAUCAGCGAGUCGGGGGUCCAAGGGGGCGACGCGCCCCUGGCUUGGGGGCCCGGGGGCGCAGCGAAGCCCCCGGUGGGGGUUCGGGGGCAACGCCACCGAAGCUUAUGAUCUAUAGUUAGUUGGGCUAGCUUUCGGUCAAGUGAAGGCCCAAGGGGCUGGCCGAACUUUCCUUGUUAUUUUUCCAGUUUAUUAGGUCUUAGUCACGGCUAUUAAUAGCCUCAAGCCGCAUGUUACAUUCAGUUUUUGAGAGUAUUGAAUAAAAUUUCCAGAAUUUCGUCCAUUCCUUGUGGGAAAUUCCCUUAGCUUGUAAAAGCUAAGUUGAACAUCCUAGAGUUGAUCCUAGGCUGUUCUUGACUUAUCAAUCAAGCACACAUACUUGAUUGUGGCGUCCUCUACCGUUAAAUCUGUUCUUGAGUGGUCCAAGUUCGGGUUCAACUCCGUCAAAUCUUCAUCGUGUUCCUUUAGAUCCGAAGUAGCUUCCGCGUCUCGUAUCACACCUGUUGUUGUUACUCUGUUACUUGUAAUACUGUUUAUAUGUAUAUAUCAUUAUAACUCUGCAUGACUUCCCUCCUACUAUUAUAUAUUGAAGGAUCUUUUCCAUUCUAAUCAAC